AGAGUUCGAUCCUGGCUCAGGAUGAACGCUGGCGGCGCGCCUAACACAUGCAAGUCGAACGGCACCCCUCUCCGGAGGGAAGCGAGUGGCGAACGGCUGAGUAACACGUGGAGAACCUGCCCCCUCCCCCGGGAUAGCCGCCCGAAAGGACGGGUAAUACCGGAUACCCCGGGGUGCCGCAUGGCACCCCGGCUAAAGCCCCGACGGGAGGGGAUGGCUCCGCGGCCCAUCAGGUAGACGGCGGGGUGACGGCCCACCGUGCCGACAACGGGUAGCCGGGUUGAGAGACCGACCGGCCAGAUUGGGACUGAGACACGGCCCAGACUCCUACGGGAGGCAGCAGUGGGGAAUCUUGCGCAAUGGGGGCAACCCUGACGCAGCGACGCCGCGUGCGGGACGAAGGCCUUCGGGUCGUAAACCGCUUUCAGCAGGGAAGAGUCAAGACUGUACCUGCAGAAGAAGCCCCGGCUAACUACGUGCCAGCAGCCGCGGUAAUACGUAGGGGGCGAGCGUUAUCCGGAUUCAUUGGGCGUAAAGCGCGCGUAGGCGGCCCGGCAGGCCGGGGGUCGAAGCGGGGGGCUCAACCCCCCGAAGCCCCCGGAACCUCCGCGGCUUGGGUCCGGUAGGGGAGGGUGGAACACCCGGUGUAGCGGUGGAAUGCGCAGAUAUCGGGUGGAACACCGGUGGCGAAGGCGGCCCUCUGGGCCGAGACCGACGCUGAGGCGCGAGAGCCGGGGGAGCGAACAGGAUUAGAUACCCUGGUAGUCCCAGCCGUAAACGAUGGACGCUAGGUGUGGGGGGACGAUCCCCCCGUGCCGCAGCCAACGCAUUAAGCGUCCCGCCUGGGGAGUACGGCCGCAAGGCUAAAACUCAAAGGAAUUGACGGGGGCCCGCACAAGCAGCGGAGCAUGUGGCUUAAUUCGAAGCAACGCGAAGAACCUUACCAGGGCUUGACAUAUGGGUGAAGCGGGGGAGACCCCGUGGCCGAGAGGAGCCCAUACAGGUGGUGCAUGGCUGUCGUCAGCUCGUGUCGUGAGAUGUUGGGUUAAGUCCCGCAACGAGCGCAACCCCCGUCCCGUGUUGCCAGCAUUCAGUUGGGGACUCGCGGGAGACUGCCGGCGUCAAGCCGGAGGAAGGUGGGGACGACGUCAAGUCAUCAUGCCCCUUAUGCCCUGGGCUGCACACGUGCUACAAUGGCCGGUACAGAGGGAUGCCACCCCGCGAGGGGGAGCGGAUCCCGGAAAGCCGGCCCCAGUUCGGAUUGGGGGCUGCAACCCGCCCCCAUGAAGUCGGAGUUGCUAGUAAUCGCGGAUCAGCAUGCCGCGGUGAAUGCGUUCCCGGGCCUUGUACACACCGCCCGUCACACCACCCGAGUCGUCUGCACCCGAAGUCGCCGGCCCAACCCGCGAGGGGGGGAGGUGCCGAAGGUGUGGCUGGUAAGGGGGGUGAAGUCGUAACAAGGUAGCCGUACCGGAAGGUGCGGCUG
rnacentral:rRNA from 1 species